rnacentral:rRNA from 1 species
CAACUUUCAGCAAUGGAUCUCUUGGUUCUCGCAUCGAUG